rnacentral:rRNA from 1 species
CGUCGUUUGCGACGCCCAACACACAAAACAAGCGGUGAGUGCUUUGGGGUGGGGUGACUGCGUACCUUUUGUAUAAUGGGUCAGCGACUUAUAUUCUGUAGCAAGGUUAACCGUAUAGGGGAGCCGAAGGGAAACCGAGUCUUAACUGGGCGUUAAGUUGCAGGGUAUAGACCCGAAACCCGGUGAUCUAGCCAUGGGCAGGUUGAAGGUUGGGUAACACUAACUGGAGGACCGAACCGACUAAUGUUGAAAAAUUAGCGGAUGACUUGUGGCUGGGGGUGAAAGGCCAAUCAAACCGGGAGAUAGCUGGUUCUCCCCGAAAGCUAUUUAGGUAGCGCCUCGUGAACUCAUCUUCGGGGGUAGAGCACUGUUUCGGCUAGGGGGUCAUCCCGACUUACCAACCCGAUGCAAACUGCGAAUACCGAAGAAUGUUAUCACGGGAGACACACGGCGGGUGCUAACGUCCGUCGUGAAGAGGGAAACAACCCAGACCGCCAGCUAAGGUCCCAAAGUCACAGUUAAGUGGGAAACGAUGUGGGAAGGCUCAGACAGCCAGGAUGUUGGCUUAGAAGCAGCCAUCAUUUAAAGAAAGCGUAAUAGCUCACUGGUCGAGUCGGCCUGCGCGGAAGAUGUAACGGGGCUAAACUGUGCACCGAAGCUGCGGCAGCGACGCUUAUGCGUUGUUGGGUAGGGGAGCGUUCUGUAAGCCUGCGAAGGUGUCCUGUGAGGGAUGCUGGAGGUAUCAGAAGUGCGAAUGCUGACAUAAGUAACGAUAA